GAUGAACGCUGGCGGCGUGCCUAAUACAUGCAAGUCGAGCGAACAGACGAGGAGCUUGCUCCUCUGACGUUAGCGGCGGACGGGUGAGUAACACGUGGAUAACCUACCUAUAAGACUGGGAUAACUUCGGGAAACCGGCGCUAAUACCGGAUAAUAUAUUGAACCGCAUGGUUCAAUAGUGAAAGACGGUUUUGCUGUCACUUAUAGAUGGAUCCGCGCCGCAUUAGCUAGUUGGUAAGGUAACGGCUUACCAAGGCGACGAUGCGUAGCCGACCUGAGAGGGUGAUCGGCCGCACUGGAGCUGAGACACGGUCCAGACUCCUACGGGAGGCAGCAGUAGGGAAUCUGCCGCAAUGGGCGAAAGCCUGACGGAGCAACGCCGCGUGAGUGAUGAAGGUCUUCGGAUCGUAAAACUCUGUUAUUAGGGAAGAACAAAUGUGUAAGUAACUAUGCACGUCUUGACGGUACCUAAUCAGAAAGCAACGGCUAACUACGUG
rnacentral:rRNA from 1 species